GGAGAACAUGUUCGUCAGGCAAAGAUGUCCCAACGAAUGAGCCCAGUCGGGCGCUGUCUCCAGAAGGGCCGGAUGGGUCGUGCGGAGGCCAGGUGUGGCCAGGGACCCGCACUCAGCACCUGUAGAUGAUCCAGACGGACCGGUGAUGUGCAUGAAUCCAACCGCUCCCCACCUGGCUGGUCAGCCAUGUUCCCACCUCUGCCAACUGCUCUGGGAACCAAACCUCUCCUGAGCCUCAGAACCACGCCCGCCCCUGCCAGGCAGGCCUCACGGUGCGAGGCAAGGUGGGUUGGACAUCUGGGGACAAGAUGGCCAGUGACUAUACCCACCCCACCCAGCUGGCCUGGACCGCAGACUCCACCCCGGGGUCCAGGUGCAUGGACCCUGGGGCAUGGCUGGGCCAGGGCUCCUGGAGGCAGCAGUGGAGGCCGACUCAGGGCAGGGAGAAGUCGGCAUCGGUUGUGCACCACUGAAUACGCACCGUGAUACUGUGCUUCACGGUAAAUAUAUAUUUGGUCUUCGCCCCUGUUUCUGGCACAGAUUUCCCCAAUUUCCCGAGUGAUGAAAACCGUGA